UACAUUUUUUAAAGUAAUUAUUUCGACGGUAUAUUAAACCUACAGAUAUUUGAUUCUACAUAUUUCUUUUUCAUUUUAUAUAAUUUAUUUUAUGCAAAAAUUUCUAAAAUAUAAUGAUGAUUUUCUUUCGGGGCUGAGCAUAAUGACGAAGCUUCAAAAAUCCAACGUGUACACUUUCACUGAGAAAAACAAAGAUUCAUAUUUAUUCAAGUUUAGUACGUUCAAAUGGUAAUUGCACUUUUUUUUUAGGACGUUAGAAGCUGCUAUGUUAGGAGGUGGAAUUGUUUUGGUGACAUAUCGUACUUUAAAAGUGUUUGGCUCAAAAUACUAAAAUUAUCAAUAUUGUUGGGUCCUAAAAUACAAUUUGAAAUUCCCCGAGCUUUUUCCGUUCAUGUGACCGGCUACUCGAAAGAUGGGACUUGACAGUGUCGUCAGGAAAAGCAGCCUUUUUUGUUGAGAGCAUUCGGAUUGUAAAAGGUGAAAAGAAAGAAUUAAAUUACCGGCAAUAAAAAAAAAUUAUUUAACAAAACGUGUAAGCAAUGAACAACUUAAACUUGAUGGACGGAAUCAAACAAUUUUUGCAUAUAUUGUUUGAGCCUGAGGAUCUUCUUUCGAUAUCCUGCCUACAUCCGAGUAACUCGGUCUACUGAAUGCGAUUUCAGUCAGUCUAACGAUCGGAGUGGAUUCACGUUAUUAUCCCGGAAAUUCAUUAUAAAUCUUUGUCUUUGUCUACUAAUUUGAACCUUUAAACUCGCAGAUUUGGUUUGUUUCAUCUAACGAAAAUGGCGGUUAUACCUUCAAAGAGGUAAAAAUGUAAGAGAAAGAAAGAAAAAUAAAGUUGUUAAAGAGUAGAAAAAUUUACUUUCGAACCGCUAAACGACCCCCUGGUUUACUUAUGAAUAAACGUAUGGGUGGAGGUAGAUCUGAGGAAAGGGUGUGUUGUGAACGUCCGUGCUAGCUACUUCUCCCUGCGCUGACCUCCUACAGUGAAGGUGAAAGUUUGAGACGCGUGUCUAGAGAACGUCCUUCGAGUUUCCAAAAAAUGUUAAACGUCAACCUGGUUUGUGAUCUCUGCACUGAUCUUCCUUCAGGUUGGUUGUUUUAUGUAUAUGUUUAGAGUUGAGGGGCCAGGUUAGUUCUUUCGGUUGCGAGAAAGGUGGUGUGAUCGUGGGUGGUCGAGCUUGUCCACCUGACGAACGGUAUCGAACUAAUCUAGGCUUCCGGGCGUUGCCGGACCCGCGCUCCCUCACUGCUAGCGGCAAUAGACUGCUUCAGUUACAGUGAUGCACCCUAGAGACGUUAGAGUCACUCACUAUUGGUGGUAGAGUGAUAGUGGAUAGUGUCGAAUCUUGGCUGGCCGCGCUCAGUAUCAGGCAGGAGAAGAAACGCCACGUGCGCGCUCACAAACGUGACAAUAUAAUAAUUGAACUAUUUUCAAUCUUACAAAACUUAUGUCAUAAUAUAUACUUCGAGUAAUUUUACUAUGUUUUGCGUAGAAUUAUUGUAUUAUAUAUUUCCAUAUCAUAAAACAUUUAAAAAAUAUUAAACAUUUUUUUAUACGUUUGAUAUAUAAAAUUUUUUGAUUUACAUUAUGACUAAGCGUGAAUACGUUUGCAAUUCAACGUGCUUUGCUUUGAUACCAUUCUAGGAAAGUGAUACUCCUCAUCAAUUAAAAUAUUUUUGUAACUACGUAUGCUAAACAAUAUUCACAAAAAGUAUAUUGUAUGUAUUUUCUGAAGCUUGUCGAAAAAUUAAUAAAUAAAGAGUAUUUGUGUUAUUCAUGUAAAAAAGUUAGGAUUUUUGAUUUCAGGUGUGUGUGUGUGUGUGUGUGUGUGUGUGUGUGACCCACAAUCAGUGGACGUCCGUUACUUAUAAUAUGGAUCAAGAGACUUUGAACGUGUUCAGAAGCUUUAUUUUAAAUUUAACCUUAAACGAAGCUUAAUUCAUUCUCCAUUUUUUAUACGAUAUUAAUUAUUGUAUGCUCAGAAUAAGUAAUGGCUAAAAUUUUUAUGUUACUUUAAUAAAAUAUAUAUACAUGUAAUUUAUUGUUAAAACUUUAAUUUUGUUUGUAACAUCCAUUUGUGCAGUAUCACAUCACUCAUAAAUAUAAUGCACCCUCGCUUACGGUGGAAGUAUUAAAUAAACAUGAAAUUAAAAUUUUAUACACAAUACUACAGAAUA